UUAUAUAUUUCGUUAGUUUCCUUUUAAAAUUAGGUAAUUGCCUUAGGGUAUUGUUUAAUGCCUUCACGCUAUCAGGUUGUCAAUGAUUUGCUGAACCUGCUGGACAAAAUUUGAGAAUGAGAGAAGAUGCACAGGGAACCUUUGUUGAAGGAGUUAAGGAGGAAGUUAUAGUAUCCUCGAUACUAAUUUCAGGUUAUAGCAAGAGGUGUAGAGUGUGAUUUAGCUCUUAUUUUUUGGUGAAAGCAAGGAGUUAUGAGAAGGCACCGAGCCACUGCAUUUCAGAUGCUAGCUUAUGUAAUUUACAGUGGAUUGGUUCGAUUGGAUAUUCACUUUCUCACAUAAUGCUAUUUAGUUUUUAGAUGCCACUUGUUUACUCAUGAAAACUAUUUAGUAUUGGUGAGGUAAGACUUUGACAGGAUUUUACUCUUCUCUAUUCCCACGAUUUUGAUAGAAAAUCUUAUAUUCUCAAUUCAAUAUGUUAGAUUUUUUUUAAUUGUUCAUACUAAAUCUAAAUUUUGUGUAGUAAACAUUGGAUCUUAACAAUUAUUGAGCCUUACAAAGAUUGUGUCUAUGUGAUGGAUCCUUUGUCUCAUCGGAAUCGUGAUGCCACUUGGAAAUCCGUAGUUGACACGUACGUUUCUCAUCAUCUUAAUUGCUCUUUCUUCUACUCUUUUCUUUUAUGUGUUUAUUUCACAAGCAUCUCUAUCUUUAUAUAUAUUAGUUAAACUUUCCAGGUCAUACUCAAGUUAGGGACAAAGAAUAGGCACCAUUUACCUUGCUAGGAAAAAAUAUUGAUUUUGCGUAUUAAAAACCUAACGAUAUACAUAUGUUUGUUUUCCAGCGCAAUGGUAAGAAGUUAUAUUAAUUAUUAGUAAUAUAUUAAUAUAGCAUUUUAUGUGAUAUAGGUUUUAUGUGAUGAAUUUGUUUAUUGUCAGUUUAAAAAACGUGAGUAUUCUAUGAGUGAGAUAAAUGAGGUUCGAGAAGAUUGGGCAACUUCUGCCAUUAAUGAGCUUUGACAUGUGACAUGGAGAAGUUCUUGCGCGUUGAUAUGGCAUUUUGAAAGCUUUUUGGAACAAUUAUAAUUUGUGGGUGUCGUAUGUAGGUGAAUUUUGUUGUUGGGAGAUGUGGUAGAACAUUGGUUCUUAUUUUGUUGUUGUUGUUGGAUGAAUAUUGGUUAUCAAUGUUUAAUUGGUCAUUUUCAGUA